rnacentral:rRNA from 1 species
AUUGAACGCUGGCGGCAUGCUUUACACAUGCAAGUCGAACGGCAGCGCGGGCUUCGGCCUGGCGGCGAGUGGCGAACGGGUGAGUAAUGCAUCGGAACGUGCCCAGUAGUGGGGGAUAGCCCGGCGAAAGCCGGAUUAAUACCGCAUACGACCUGAGGGUGAAAGCGGGGGACCGAAAGGCCUCGCGCUAUUGGAGCGGCCGAUGUCGGAUUAGCUAGUUGGUGGGGUAAAGGCUUACCAAGGCGACGAUCCGUAGCUGGUCUGAGAGGACGACCAGCCACACUGGGACUGAGACACGGCCCAGACUCCUACGGGAGGCAGCAGUGGGGAAUUUUGGACAAUGGGGGCAACCCUGAGCCAGCCAUGCCGCGUGCGGGAAGAAGGCCUUCGGGUUGUAAACCGCUUUUGUUCGGGAAGAAAUCCUCUGGGCUAAUACCCCGGGGGGAUGACGGUACCGGAAGAAUAAGCACAGGCUAACUACGU